CAAUGAUAUAUCUAUAUUUGUCUCAUCACUAUGAAAAACAAGGUUAGUAAAAUGUUCCAUGUCGAUAUAUCAUUCUUGUGUGGGUAUGCACCGUUACAAGGGGAGUUUCUUCUAACCAUGUCAUUUAAUUCAAAUGCAAUCCUAAAAUAAGACAUGGGUGUCGGGGCCGGAUUUCCGGGACAUAAAUCCCAGUAAACAACCAUUGUGUCAUCACCAGCCCCAGGAUUACUGUUGCUGGUGGACAUUUCCUUGAUAUAGAAUUCCAAGCAAUUACAAGAGAUUGGAUACAAGACCACAAAGGUCCAAUGAAUAUAACAAGGAUCUCUAGUGGUGGAUGACGGAAGCGACUCGUGGAUCUCCAAUGUUGAUGGGACUCCAUUCCCACGGGAACAGCUGACCUGGAUAACUCCUAUCUCACGUGGCUGUUAUCUCCGAAUCCUAGGUUGCGGGGGAGUCUCCGUAAUGCUCCUCUCUGAGUCAUGAUCUGGCCAAGACAAUAGCCAGGGACAAGCCAGUGAGUACGUUUGAAUGUACUCGCAAACAUCAAGAACAAAAGAUAUACCGGAUACAUAUGCUCAUGAUGAAUUAAAUUGCAUGCAUGUGCUGACUGAGUAUUAAAGCAUGGCAUGACAAAUAUUCAUACAGAAAAUAAGUCAUGUUAUUAGUAAAUCAAAGAAAUGAAAUGGAACGUUGGGCGUUGGACCGCCCAAGAAAUUCUAAGAGAAAUGCCAAACAGGUGUCUAAAAGAGAAUCGGGCAAGACAAGACCGCCCGAGAACUCAAGCGGCGCCACGAGAGGUCUUGAAAAGAAAUGCCAAACGGGUGUCUAAAAGCGACACCUCGUAAGGUCUUGAAAAUGAAUGCCACAGUCUGGUGUCUGAGCGACGCCUCAUAAAGGGCUUAUAAGAAAAUAAUAACAUGAUUAUCCAGGUGGACUAGCCAUCCCAAGUGAUACUCAGAGAUGAAAAAAAUAAACUUGAGUAUCCCGGGUAGUCUAGCCAUCCCAAGAGAUACUCAAGGUUAAACAUAAGAGGAAAAGGUUAGUCCACAACAAUAUUCAUAUCAUCAAUAAUAUUCAAAAUGGCACCAUUAGUGACAAUAAUUACCCUGCAGAACGAUCCAUGAUCAAUUUAGUUAUUUCCUCCGGAGACUGACACUAAGACCGACACUUGACCAACCCAGACUGUAGUCCUUAACCAUGGACACGGCUAUUCGAAUAGAUAUAACUCUGCAGAGGGUGUACUCUUUACCCACGUGUAUAGGAUUUCUUUAGCCAGCACCGAGACGCUGACUAAUUCCCGUUACGGCCUUUGGAUUGAAAACAAACCUGACCAGCACACACCAGAUUAACUUUCCGGAUGCCAGGAAUCACCCAAAGCAUCGUUCAAGAGAAACUCUAAGGCGGGGAGACCAUCGUCUUGAGUAGCAUGGGAUCACUAUUAACAUGCGCGGAUUACAAGGGGUGCCCCCCUCUCGGCCCAGCCGGAUACACCCAUGCCCCCUGGCCCGAUGACUGGCAUUGCAGCCGAUACCUGGAAACCCUCAUCGUGACCUCUCUGUACGGUGUGUGCAGGGAAAGGGGUUAACAACUUACUGAACCGUACCCAGCCUGUGGCCGGGACAAGUGGUAGCACGAAACCAGUAUGGGGGUUACCGGAACAAGACCCGAUCUAUGGUCAACUCAGGAGGUUUAAGUUUGCCUACAGUGGUUCGCAUAAUAUAAAUCCUUGGCAGUACCCAACAGGAUAACCACCUGGUAUGUCCCAACAUACCCUCAAUGAUCACUCUCGUCACAACGAGAUUUCAGUCUCACAGUCACUUUUCUCGUGACUGAUUCUUCCUGCAAAUUAUCCUGGACCAACACAGGCACAUAUGGAACGUGAAAGUAACUGUACUCACUUAUACUUCAUGUUUAAGUGAACAGAAAAUACCAUCAAGGGGAUCAUGCAUGUAUGACCAACAAUAUGCAAACUCUAUAGGAAUUCAACAUGUUCAUAAUUCAAAUACACAUGCCAUAAAUAAUUAUGCAGUCACCAUAUCAUGUGUUCAAAAUGCUUGCCUUGAGCAUGCAGAAAUGUUGUGUGCACUCCAAAACUUUGAAAAUUAUAUCUCCCCUCCAUUUCCUAUUUUCAAAAUAUUUUAAUGACCACACAUUUCCAAAACAGUACAUAAAAGUUGUUUGGAAAUUUGUGAAAUAAAUACUAAAAUAAACUAGAUGAAAUUUGAGAGAUAACAGAAAAAGAGUCAAGUCAUUUAAAGUUUAUAUAAUUUUCCUAUGGAUUUACUAAGCUGAAAUAAUCAAGGAAAUAGAUUGUUUAUUAGAUCCAGCAAAAACCAGGCUUAGGAAAAAUGUUCACCCUAUCUGGAUAUAUAGAGCAUGAUUGUAGGAGUGGGCACAAAUUUGAAUCAUCAAAUUUUGAUGUGAAAUGGAUGCUGUGGAAUUAUUUGAAAUCUGGUGGACAAGAAAUAGGGAAACCGAUAUUACUGUGAUUGGCUGAGUAGAGACGCGCCCUGGCCGCGGUAUAGCCGCCUGGCGCUACUGGGCCAAGCCCAGUUGUUUGGCUGCGUGGGAGGGCUGCGACGCCGAAAGCGUAGUCCAAGAAAUACACUUUCCACGCAGGAAGGCAACUUCAACGGAACUCGUCUCCACUUAAGACGAGUUGGCACGGCGCUGAGUCACUGACGGUGGGCCCGCCCGGCCCACCGGUCAGGUUUGACCAGUCCACGCGCGCGCCGUCUCCUCCGACCGAACAGAGGCGGAGCUCCGGCGAUCGGUGCCGGUGAACGGUGGCACCGUUCGGAAAACCGAGGCCACCUUCGAGCUCAGGAGGUCGAGGCGAACCCGUGGGUACCCUCCUUGGUCGUCGGAGUGGACGGAGUCACCGGCGGCGAGCUCUUCGGUGGACGGUGGCGUCGGGUGGGAUUGAGCUUUCGCCUACGGCGGCUCCUGAGCAGAAUCGAGAGGUGGGUUGGAUUCGUGGGUGCUCCAGGGUGCUGUUGGUGAAGAGAGUGGAGAGGGGGAGGCCCUAAUGGCGUCGACAUGAACGAGAAAGAGGCGGCGGCCGUGGUUGCCGGAGUUGGGGAAGAUGACCCGCUCCGAUCGUUCUACCGCUAUGGGUGGGUUAGUGAGGGAGGGAGAGAGUUGGUGAUGUACUGCGAGGUCUCAGGGUAAGCUUUUAUAGUGCGAGGGGGUCGGCUCCGUGGUGUCCCGAGGAUAAGCACGGCGGCGGCGAUCAUUACGGCGCCAGGUGAGGCCGUUGAGGUCGGAAGAGUGGCCGGUGAGGACGGUGGCCGCCCGCAGUUACUCCUGGGAGGAGGUGGGCUGCUCGGGACGCGCCACGCGGGUCGGGCAGAGACGUGGCCGUGCGGGACUCGUCGGGCGGCGGUCUUGGUCGUCGUGGACGGCGGUGGACGGCGCUAGGGGCCAAGCGAGGGUGUCGGCGAGGUUCCAGGUGGUCGAGCCGAUCCAGAGGAGGAUCAGGAUGAGAGGGGGAGGCAGCAGCUCGGUGCCGAAGCAUGCCAAACGCGCGCUCUGGACAUGCUCCGGAUGUGCACGUAGCCUGCUCGAGAAAAUGCUUCAGAGGUCUAGGAGCCUCUGAUGCCAGUUCCACUUUCCAUAGAGUUGAUUUGGAGUAUACUAUAGCUAUUUGACAUGGUGGUUUGGUCAGAUGAGCAGAUGCCCAAUGCAAGUUUAUGAACUUACAGAUUUCUGUCAUGCACAUGAAGUGUUCGACAGAAUGCUAGGGCAAGCUAGAGGACUCUGAUGGAUUUGAAACUUGGCAGGGUGGGGUCUCUUUAGAUGAUAGAGCUGGUGGUGAAUUUAGUUUGUCAAGAUGAGAAACGUGCUGGUGCAAGUUUUACCAGAAUUCAGUUCUGGACAGAAACUUUAGAGGCAUGUUUGGUGGACUAAAAAGAUUCCAAUGGAGCUGAUCUCCUGGAUUUAAGGUUUUGGUUGGGACGACUACAAGAUGGAAGAGUUUCAGAAUCAUUGGAGCUAGGAAAAAGAGGGUUGCAGUUAUAACUCAAGAAUGGGACAGAAUUUGAAAAGAGGAUGUUUCACUCAAACUUUUCAAGAGACAUAGCUAGGUUUUUGCACAAAAGUGAUUUAUAGGCAUCACCUGACUUCCCAUAAUUUUUUUGGGAUUUUAAAACAAAUAUUUAGAAUACUUGUAGUGCAACAGAAGCAUUUUAAGCAUUGAAAAUGCUAGUAAAAGAAUUGUUUGUGGCAAAUUUUACUAUGAAAAUGUUUCCUACUGUUAUUUAUGAUAUAAAUCAAAUGAUUUAAAAAACAACCAAGGACCACAACAUUUCACAAAAAUAAUCUUCUGUGGAGGGAAGAAUUUUGUAAAACAGAAAAUAGAAAAGCUCUGAAAUUAAUAACUGAGCUCAUAUAGCUCAAAAAAAUUAUUUCUGACCAAACUUUACUUAAUAAAAUUUGAUUAAAUUUUUGGGGUGUUACAAACUCUACCCCUCUUAAGAAAAAUCUCGUCCUCGAGAUUUGUUUAGGGCAGAAGAACUGAAUGCAAAUCACAACAAUGAUCAUAUGCAGAAUGUAAUCAUGGUAAUGCACUUACGACAUAUGCCCUAAAUUACAAUACAACGGUUGCAACACGUAAACUAGUGCUAGGUGCAACAACAAUGACCAUCUACGGUUCGAAGGUGAGAUCUACAGGCUCUUGUGGAAGGGUUCCCGGUGCUGUGGCACAUUCUUCUUCUUCCCGGGGAAGUGAAGGAUGUAAACGAAGAACACGCCCUUCCGGAGUUGGCCAUGGUGGUCCACCUAUGGCGAUGUGGGGAUUGAGGACAGUAAGAUAAUGGAGGUAAUCCAUUAGUUGCUGGGUUAGAUGCUCCUGGGCCAUCACAUACUGAAUGAGGUUGGCCAGAGCUGGGUCCCUUUCUAUACGUUCACAACGGAACGUGGCUUCUGCUCCAGAAGCUGCACGGCUCGGGAAAUAGUAGUAUUUCCUUUCACAGGCAGCGAGGUACAGUGAAUCAAAGACGGGUAACUGCUUCAUAAGCAACAGCCUCAAUAGCCAUGCCUGAGGUUGGCAUGGAUCUCCCGACGAAGACAACAUAUGGAGGGCCUUGAUUUAAAUCCUCUCGUGGGAUGUGCACAACUGCCCAGUAUUUCGAGGAAUCAGGGGUGAUCCUCAUUUUGAACAACUCAUACUGAGGUGGGUAGCUAGAACCAAGUGUAUUGCGGGUCAGAUCCCACAAAACCUUAACAAAACUACCAGGGCUUGCAUCUGGAGUUCGUAGGUAGGCUCCGGGGUGAGACAUGGAAGGAUGUAUAGAGAAGAGUGGUGCUCAAGUGUGGUGGUGGCUGGUGUGGUGCAUGAAUACGGCCCCUUAUAAGGUGCCUGGGUUAGGAAACACGAUGUGGCGCUGGUACGACUUGUGCAUCGGCUCCGACAUAGGGUUGUCCAAGUCAAAUUCUCGGACACCACUUCUCAAAAGGAGUGUGACGUAUUACUAUGUGUGUCGGCAGUUAUGUCUAGCAUUUACUCUGUCGCCACAUGCCAACCAUUUAUGCUAUAUCACACAUAGUACCAUUACAACAAUGGCACACAGGUAGUUUUACAAGCUCGCUACGCCAUGCGAUUGCUACCUUGAAAAUACAAGACAACAGGACUACUAGGAUUUGAUAACACUCCUGGUGGACUCAGUCCACCUCGUUGACAUCUAGUCGGGCGUGUCUUGUAGAUGUUGAGGCUUCUCCAUGAGCUUCAGUGUCGGAGUUGUUCGGGGUGGGAUGUGGAGUUGUAGUGCUGGGAUAGCGAUGAUGCCCCUCGUGGGGUCUCGUGGUCACAAUUCCAUUGGAGUAGGCCUCCAAGAGACGACGGAGUUCUCCUGGGGAGGCGAAGGUAUUGCCUGGAUAGAUGACAGGAGCAGACCUUGGGGCUCAACUGGCCUCCCAAGCAGCAUUACCGGGGUGUCAGUGUCGGUUGUAGCUUCACUUCUUACCGGUGUCAGGAGAGCAAGUGUCCUGCGAGUCGCAGUCAGAUCAUUAGUGACCUGAUCGAAUAGUGCCUCUUGCGCUCUCAGGUAGCGCACCAAAUGCACUAGAGCAGGAUCCGACCCAUGGUCUCCGUUGGCGACCUGGGUCGGGCUACCAUAGCCUUCACGACUAGGGUAGUAGAAGAAAGGGCGAGUGUUAACCCUUGGCGACAAAUGCCGAAGAUGAACCUCUCGGGCUGCAAGUUGGAUGGCUUGGUGCUCGUCAGAGGUUGUCCUCCCGGUGAACCGGUAGGGACGCUCUGAUGUGGUGCCCCUCCCGUAGAUGUGCACUGUGGCCCAGAAGUGAUGGAUGGCAUCACUUGUGUGUUCCUGGUACACAACAUAUUCUGGGGGUUCGUCUAUGCCAAAAUCGACGAGUGAGAUUGGCGAGGAUCGCUACGAAAUCUCCAAGCUCGGAUGCGGUGGUCUCGUUGCGGACGAUGGGACCAGGCAUCUUGGUGGUUUUAAAAUCAGGGUGCGAGUGAGAGUUGUGAUGUGCCGAGUUCGGGCAAGGCUUCCUUUAUAAGCCAGCGGAGUCUUCCAUCGCACGCUUGCGGAUGGGAUAACUCAGGUGUCGGCUACGGGCGCACGGCCUAUGGCCAAGGACGAUAGGUUGGGCACCGACUGUCAAAAAGAUGUCGGCUCGCCACCGUGCAGGCUAUCGGAUAGGAUGAGCUUGACGGUGGAUAAGAAAGGAUAUGGACGGUGUGGAAACCUAGGGAUAGUGACCAGACUAAGAUAGGAUUAGCUGGUGGUCAGCUUGGCUCUGAUACCAAGGUUGUCGGGGCUGGAUUUCCGGGACAUAAAUCCCAGUAAACGACCCUUGUGUCAUCACCAGCCCCAGGAUUACUGUUGCUGGUGGACAUUUCCUUGAUAUAGAAUUCCAAGCAAUUACAAGAGAUUGGAUACAAGACCACAAAGGUCCAAUGAAUAUAACAAGGAUCUCUAGUGGUGGAUGACGGAAGCGACUCGUGGAUCUCCAAUGUUGAUGGGACUCCAUUCCCACGGGAACAGCUGACCUGGAUAACUCAUAUCUCACGUGGCUGCUAUCUCCAAAUCCUAGGUUGCGGGGGAGUCUCUGUAAUGCUCCUCUCUGAGUCAUGAUCUGGCCAAGACAAUAGCCAGGGACAAGCCAAUGAGUACGUUUGAAUGUACUCGCAAACAUCAAGAACAAAAGAUAUACCGGAUGCAUAUGCUCAUGAUGAAUUAAAUUGCAUGCAUGUGCUGACUGAGUAUUAAAGCAUGGCAUGACAAUUAUUCAUACAGAAAAUAAGUCAUGUUAUUAGUAAAUCAAAGAAAUGAAAUGGAACGUUGGGCGUUGGACCGCCCAAGAAAUUCCAAGAGAAAUGACAAACGGGUAUCUAAAAGAGAAUUGGGCGAGACAAGACCGCCCGAGAACUCAAGUGACGCCACGAGAGGUCUUGAAAAGAAAUGCCAAACGGGUGUCUAAAAGCGACACCUCGUAAGGUCUUGAAAAUGAAUGCCACAGUCGGGUGUCUGAGCGAUGCCUCAUAAAGGGCUUAUAAGAAAAAUAAUAACAUGAGUAUCCAGGUGGACUAGCCAUCCCAAGUGAUACUCAGAAAUAAAAAAAUAAACUUGAGUAUCCCGGGUAGUCUAGCCAUCCCAAGAGAUACUCAAGGUUAAACAUAAGAGGAAAAGGUUAGUCCACAAAAAUAUUCAUAUCAUCAAUAAUAUUCAAAAUGGCACCAGUAGUGACAAUAAUUACCCUGCAGAACGGUCCAUGAUCAAUUUAGUUAUUUCCUCCGGAGACUGACACUAAGACCGACACUUGACCAACCCAGACUAUAGUCCUUAACCAUGGACACGGCUAUUCGAAUAGAUAUAACUCUGCAGAGGGUGUACUCUUUACCCACGUGUAUAGGAUUUCUUUAGCCAGCACCGAGACGCUGACUAAUUCCCGUUACGGCCUUUGGAUUGAAAACACACCUGACCAGCACACACCAGAUUAACUUUCCGGAUGCCAGGAAUCACCCAAAGCAUCGCUCAAGAGAAACUCUAAGGCGGGGAGACCAUCGUCUCGAGUAGCAUGGGAUCACUAUUAACACGCGCGGAUUACAAGGGGUGCCCCCCUCUCGGCCCAGCAGGAUACACCCAUGCCCCCUGGCCCGAUGACUGGCAUUGCAGCCGGUACCUGGAAACCCUCAUCGUGACCUCUCUGUACGGUGUGUGCAGGGAAAGGGGUUAACAACUUACUGAAC
rnacentral:lncRNA from 1 species